rnacentral:rRNA from 1 species
UACAGAGGUCUCAAGCGUUGUUUCGGAUUCAUUGGGCGUAAAGGGUGUGUAGGUGGCGCGCUAAGUCGGGGUGUGAAAUUUCGGAGCUUAACUCCGAAACUGCAUUCGAUACUGGCGUGCUUGAGGACUGGAGAGGAGACUGGAAUUCAUGGUGUAGCAGUGAAAUGCGUAGAGAUCAUGAGGAAGACCAGUGGCGAAGGCGGGUCUCUGGACAGUUCCUGACACUGAGACACGAAGGCCAGGGGAGCAAACGGG